rnacentral:rRNA from 1 species
UACAGAGGGGGCAAGCGUUGUUCGGAAUUACUGGGCGUAAAGGGCGCGUAGGCGGUCUGCUAAGUCGAACGUGAAAUCCCCGAGCUCAACUCGGGAACUGCGUCCGAUACUGGCAGGCUUGAAUCCGGGAGAGGGAUGCGGAAUUCCAGGUGUAGCGGUGAAAUGCGUAGAUAUCUGGAGGAACACCGGUGGCGAAGGCGGCAUCCUGGACCGGCAUUGACGCUGAGGCGCGAAAGCCAGGGGAGCAAACGGG